GACGAAGGGGGCUAGCGUUGUUCGGAAUUACUGGGCGUAAAGGGCUCGUAGGUGGCCAACUAAGUCAGACGUGAAAUCCCUCAGCUUAACCGGGGAACUGCGUCUGAUACUGGAUGGCUUGAGUUCGGGAGAGGGAUGCGGAAUUCCAGGUGUAGCGGUGAAAUGCGUAGAUAUCUGGAGGAACACCGGUGGCGAAGGCGGCAACCUGGACCGACACUGACACUGAGGAGCGAAAGCCAGGGGAGCAAACGGG
rnacentral:rRNA from 1 species